rnacentral:rRNA from 1 species
UACGAAGGGUGCAAACGUUGCUCGGAAUUACUGGGCGUAAAGCGCGCGUAGGCGGUUUUGUAAGUCGGGUGUGAAAUCCCCAAGCUUAACUUGGGAACUGCAUUCGAGACUGCAUAGCUAGAGUAUGGGAGAGGGAAGUGGAAUUUCAGGUGUAGCGGUGAAAUGCGUAGAUAUCUGAAGGAACAUCAGUGGCGAAAGCGACUUCCUGGACCAAUACUGACGCUCAUGUGCGAAAGCGUGGGGAGCAAACAGG